GCUUCAGCUCCAGACAGGAAACGUUCUGAGGAAUUUCUUCCAUGCAGAUUGCUCCAGAGAGCUUGGCCACAUACACGGACUGGGGCACUCCCACCUGAUCGGGCAGUCAAGGGCCUGCUGUGGCAUAGCACCUGCUCACUGAACACAGGACAGUGACCUACAGUCUGAGAUGCUGGCAGGGGGUCUGCCCAAGCCUCCCUGUCUCCCUUGGCUUUAGUCCUUUUGAAAAUUGGUUAACAAGUGCCAUUGUUUGUCAUUGUGACAUCGUGGAGCAGUGACAAAAGCUCUGCUGCUGAAGGGACGCUAGAGCUGGUGAGAGUUAGAGUUGUGCUCGCCUCUUCCUGUCAUCUGCAGCACUUGGUGGGCAAGGGAAACAAGGACACGUCUUCAGCCAAGCACAAGUCUGAGCCUGUUUGUAUGUCCAGAAUUGCUUCUGUCCACACACUUUACCAGCAGGCGUGCUUAUGCACAGAUUUAGAUGGAGCUGCAAAGCUCCCAAAAAGGGUCCUGCUGAGCAGGCUUUCCAAGCUCAGACUGCCAUUCCAGCAUGGCAGAUCCACUGCACAGAGCGACAGCCUUCUCUGAGUGUCCCAGCAUUGCACACCACGGGCAGUCGGGUCUCAAGGCUGUGAGUUUUAGCUCAUGCUGAUUCAGACACCUCUGGCACAGUGAAACAUAGCCUACGUCUGGAUAUUGUCCAAACCCUUCACAGGCUGUGCUCUGCACCUAAGAUGUGUACAGUAUAUUGUUUUAUAUGAACAAGCACAUGAUUAAAUUUAAUGGACAAGUUGACAUGAAUGAAAGGUUUUCUUUUAAGUAGCAUGGGCUUUGGACUAUGUAGCUGAAGUUCUUCCUGUAAAAGUCGAGACUGGCUCCUGCUCAUGUUGCAUUGCUGAAGCAAAAUCACUGCAUGGACAGAGGAUGCCGUCCUAUCUACAGAUAAGUGGAAUGGUUUGAAAGCUAAGCCUGUAAAUAAAUACCCUAUGCCUCCAUAUGACUUGGCUGGACUAGUUUUAGGAAAAACUAACUAUUAAUGCCAGGGGAAAUCAAAGUGUACUUUGUAAUUUGGGACAGACUGAAGGACCUAUAUGUGCAACAGGAAUAGUCCCACGAUUGCUGUGCCAAUCCUGUCAUCCCUGGGUGUCCCACUUGUCUCUGCAAAAGGACAUUGUGUGACUGACACAGGCAGGACAGAGCAAGGGCAUUCACGCUCUGGAGAGCUGCAGGGUUGUUUACCCCGAGGAGCAGGUAGAGCUGGUGGUUCAGGUUCCUGUCUGUCAAGGUGGACAUAAGGUGCUCAGUCACAGCAGAGUCCUGGGCUUCAGAAUGGGAAUUGCCAAGUUAUGUACAAGAUAGACAUGAAACAAUGUUAGAGAUUCACAGCCUCAGAAGCCUCAAGAAGCAAAAGUAAUCUCCAGGCAAACACCUCUAAGCAUGGACAAAUAGACACUCCAGUUGUGAAAAUCAGUAUGAAAAUUUCCUCCAAAGGUUUCCAGUUAUUCACAAUAAAAUUGCAGUGUUUGAGAAGCUAAAAAUUCUCAUUAUCUGGAAGGGACACUUGGAAUGGGGACGCUUGGAAUGGAGACACUUGAAAGGAAAGACUGCUGAUGGCUGGUCAACCAUCAACAUAAACACCUAUCUGUCACACUCUUGACAAGAAGUGCUUCCUAUGCAGACCAAACUUGAUACCUGUAAAUACAC